rnacentral:rRNA from 1 species
GCCUACGGGGGGCUGCAGUGGGGAAUAUUGGGCAAUGGGCGCAAGCCUGACCCAGCAACGCCGCGUGAAGGACGAAGGCCUUCGGGUUGUAAACUUCUUUGAUCAGGGACGAAACAAAUGACGGUACCUGAGGAACAAGCCACGGCUAACUACGUGCCAGCAGCCGCGGUAAUACGAAGGUGGCAAGCGUUAUCCGGAUUUACUGGGUGUAAAGGGCGUGUAGGCGGGUCUGCAAGUCGGAUGUGAAAUUCCCGGGCUUAACUCGUGCGGGUCAUCCGAAACUGCUGAUCUUGAGUACUGGAGAGGAUAGUGGAAUUCCUAGUGUAGCGGUAAAAUGCGUAGAUAUUAGGAGGAACACCAGUGGCGAAGGCGGCUAUCUGGACAGUAACUGACGCUGAGGCGCGAAAGCGUGGGGAGCAAACAGGAUUAGAUACCCUGGUAGUC